UUCAUGACUCUCGGCAACGGAUAUCUCGGCUCUCGCAUCGAUGAAGAACGUAGCGAAAUGCGAUACCUGGUGUGAAUUGCAGAAUCCCGCGAACCAUCGAGUCUUUGAACGCAAGUUGCGCCCGAGGCCGUCUGGUCGAGGGCACGCCUGCCUGGGCGUCACGC
rnacentral:rRNA from 1 species